rnacentral:lncRNA from 1 species
AAGUCCUACAUUCACAGCUGUGUCUGUGGCCCUGUCAAGCUUUCUAAUCCCUUUGUCUGCUGUCUUCUGUCAUGCAUCUUUCCUUUCUGGAUUUAUUGUUGAAAUCUCAAUGGGAUUGGCUGCCAUUUUCUCUCUCUUUGCUCCUUUAAGUUCCUCUUCUCAAAUCCCUUUGUGAUCAAUGCUGAAUUUAAAAGGCUAGAUAUGGUAGUACUAGUGUGAAAAAAUCCCAGCACACUAGACACUAAAGCAAGAUGAUGAAAACAUCUGGAUGUUCCUCCACGUUAAAAAAAACAAAACAAAACAUAUUGUAUAUAUUACUAAGUAUUUGACUACCUCAAACUCACAUUUCUAAGAUUUUUAUUAUAUUCUUUGUAUUAUAUUUGGGCACUGUUCCUCAAUCUAAGUGUACUGCUCUCAUUAUAAAUCUUUUCUGAGUCUGUUGUUUUAUUUGCAUUUCUCCCUUUCUUGUUUCCCCAGUCAACCCUUUGGGGAGGAAUUAUAACACAGUUACAUAAUUUUCAUCUUAAGCCUUCUACCUCCUAAUUCUUUGGUCGUUUUCAAAUCAAUGAUCUCUUUUUUUUUUUUUUUUCCAUUAAUAGACCUGAGCCACAUUGUCCAAAACUCAGUUUUGAAUGUUAAUAUUUAAAGGACUCUGUGAUGUUCUAAAUGACAAAGUCAUUUGUUCCUGUUCUGUUGUUACCUGUCCUGCCUUCCAACACCAUUAGUGUCUAAAAGAUGCCUUACUAUAAAUUUAAAAAAGAACAAGGUUGGGGAUAUGGGGUGGGGGUGGUUGAAGGCAGAAUAGGAAAGGGAGAGAUGAUGUGGUUAAAGUGUUUUAAGCUGCAUAUAAACUUCCAGUAAUACCAGCUAUAAGCCACAGUCUGCCUGGUAUUCAGUCUUAUCCCUUUAAAAGAACUCCUUAUAGAAUCCCAUAAAUAUAUGAGUUUGUUUCUUUGCCUUCUACAUGAUUUGAACCAAUGUAUGCCAGGAUACUUUGGUCAGCCCAUGUUCAAAAGACUACUGUGUUUUCAUUUCAUCAGAAUAAGGGAGUGAUUAGAGAUCAGAUAACCAAAUAAGAUGUAAAGAAAAUUCUUUAAGAUUCUCUGCUGUAAACAAGUCAUGUCUCUAUAAAGCCAGUCAUGUCUUUUGUUAUUUCUAAGUCUUUAAAUUAAUUUUUUGAAAACACAUUCAUAUCCAUACAUUUUUGCUUUGUUUUGUUUAUAUUUGCUUCUUUUCUAGAGAUAAGGUAUUGUAUAGUCCAGGUUGGCUUUUAACUUGGUAUAUACUGAAGUAGUAGUACAUUGAACUCUUUGUCCCAUUAGCUGUGAUUAGUCAUGUGUCAUAGUGCAUGCAUUCAGUGUUAAGUUAUUAGGACUGUUAAUUCAUACAACAACAUUCAUGAGUCACUUGGGGUUUAGCAUAGCAUUUUGCUCAUAGGAGGCUAAAGACAUUCAUACUUUGCAACAAUACAGUAGUAGCGUGUUUAAAUAGCAUGUUCAAGGCACUAGUUUCGGUUAUCAGAAAUACACAUAAGAACACAGAAACACACAGACACACUGGCACACUGACACACACACACACACACACACACACACACACACACACACACAAUGCCUGAAUAUUGGUCGGAAUCCUCUUGCUAUCAUAAGAGCCAGGAAAUUCAGAAGGAUCUUGACUUUGGAAGAAUAUAGAUGAGCUCAGUCAGGGUCUACACAUGUACCAUAAAGUACUAGGUAGUUACUUAAUUGAGUGGAAGCAAAUUACAAUGCCUGAUUGAGGUUUUCAGUACUAUUCAAAAUGAGGUUGUUCUCAAUCUUAAUUGUAAAUCAGAAUAAUUUGAACUGAUUGGUAACACAUUGAUUCCUUAAAAUUUGUUCCUCUUCUUUGCAUAUAAUUCUGUACCCUUUGAUCAACAGCGUCUACCCACCUUCACCUUUAGUCUAAGCCCAUUCUCUUGUAGUCAUCUUUCUAUACUUUACCUCCAUGAAAUUAAGUUUAUCAAGAGCUUGUGUAUAAAAUGGGCAGAUUUGUGUUUGUCCUUUGUGCCUUGAUUAUUUCUUUUAGAGUAAUAGGCUCCAAGUUGACUAUAUUCAAUAAUGAUGCAAUAUAUACUUUGACCCUUAAGACAGUAAUUUCAAAUGUCUCAUCAUAAAAAUGAUAGGGAAAAUUAGGUGAUUGGCUUUACUACACCAUGGUCACCCUACCUGAAGUAAGCCAUUCUACACAGCUGAAAUCCUAGCAAUGGCGAACCUGAGACAGGUAAAUCUUGAGUUAGAAACAAUUCUAGUCUACACCGUGAGAACUUGUCUCCAAAAAUAUGUGUAACAAUACAU